ensembl:lncRNA
CAUUUGUCAGAGAGAGAAUACUCCUCCAUGGACGUUACAUGUUUAUAGAACCUGAAAAAAACAGCAGGCAGGUCUUAAGAGAUGGAAUACACAAAGAAAUGACUCUUGAGAAUCCCUUGGACUGCAAAGAGAUCCAACCAGUCAAUCCCAAAGUCAGUCCUGAAUAUGCAUUGGAAGGACUGAUGCUGAAGCUGAAACUCCAAUCCUUUGGCCACCUGAUGUGAAGAACUGACUCAUUGGCAGAGACUCCGAUGCUGAAAGAGUGAAGGCCGGAGUAGAAGGGGACGACAGAGGAUGAGAUGGCUGGAUGGCAUCACCGACUCGAUGGACAUGAAUUUGAGUAAGCUCUGGGAGUUGGUGAUGGACAGGGAGGCCUGGCAUGCUGCUGUCCAUGGGGUCGCAAAGAGUUGGACACGACUGAGCAACUGAACUGAAGAUUCCUAUUAUUCAUAUGAGAUGGCAAGAGUGAGCACUGACAUUUUAAGAAACAGUGAACAAAAAUGGAUGGGAAGGGGCAAUUUAAUUUAGAUGACCAUUCUAUCUACUAUGUGGGCAAGAAUCCCUUAGAAGAAAUGGAAUAGCCCUCAUAGUCAACAAAAGAGUCUGAAAUGCAGUACUUGAGUGAAGUCUCAAAAAUGACAGAAUGAUCUUGACCCAUUUCCAAGGCAAACCAUUCAACAUCAUGGUAAUCCAAGUCUGUGCCCCAACCACUGAUGCCAAAGAAGCUGAAGUUGAACAGCUCUUUGAAGACCUACAAGACCUUCUAGAACUAACACUUUAAAAAAAAUGUCCUUUUCAUUGUAGGGGAUUGGAAUGCAGAUGUAGGAAGUCAAGAGAUACUUGGAGUAACAGGCAAGUUGGCCUUGGAAUACAAAAUGAAGCAGGACAACGGCCAAUAGAGUUUUGUCAAGAAAACACACUGGUCAUAGCAAAGACCCUUUUCCAACCACACAAGAGACGACUCUACACAUGAACAUCACCAGAUGGUCAAUACAGAAAUUGAUUAUAUUCUUUGAUUGAUUAUAUUCUUUGAUUUUUUUUUUGAUUAUAUUGAUUAUAUUCUUUGCUGCCAAAGAUGGAGAAGCUCUAUACAGUCAGCAAAAACAAGACUGGGAGCUGACUGUGGCUCACAUCAUGAACUCCUUAUUGCCAAAUUCAGACUUAAAUUGAAGAAAGGGAAAACCACUAGAUCGUUCAGGUAUGACCUAAAUCAAAUUCCUUAUGAAUAUACAGUGGAAGUGACAAAUAGAUUCAAGGGAUUAGAUCUGAUAGAGUGCCUGAAGAACUAUGGACGGAGGUUCAUGACACUGUAUAGGAGGCAGUGACCAAAACCAUUGCAAAGAAAAAGAAAUACAAGAAGGCAAAGUAGUCAUCUGAGUAGGCCUUACAAAUGGCUGAGAAAAGAAGAGAAACAAAAGGCAAAAGAGAAAAGGAAAGACGUAUCCAACUGAAUGCAGAGUUCCAGAAUAGCAAGGAUAGAUAAGAAAACCUUAAGUAAACGAUUUCAAAGAAACAGAGGAAAACAAUUGAAUGGGAAAGACUAGAGAUCUCUUCAAGAAAAUUGGAGAUACCAAGGAAACAUUUCAUGCAAAGAUGGGCACAAUAAAGGACAGAAACUGCAGGGACUUAACAGAGGCAAAAGAGAUUAAGAAAUGGCAAGAAAUCACAACUAUUCAAAAAAGGUCUUUAGGACUUGGAUAACAAUGAUGGUGUGAUCACUCAUCUAGAGCCAGACAUCCUGGAGUGUGAAGUCAAGUGGGCCUUAGGAAGCAUUACUGUGAACAAAGCUAGUGGAGGUGAUGAAAUUCCAGAUGAGCUAUUUUCAAAUCUUAAAAAGAUGAUGCUGUUAAAGUGCUGCACUCAAUAUGCCAGCAAUUUUGGAAAACUCAGUACUGGCCACAAGACUGGAAAAAGUCAGUUUUCUUUCUCAUCUCAAAGUAGUGUAAUGCCAAAGAAUGUUCAAACUGCCAUAUAAUUACAUUCAUUUCAUAUGUUAGCAAGAUAAUACUCAAAAUCCUUCAAGGUAGGCUUCAGCAGUACAUGAACCAAGCUGCUGGAUUUAGAAAAGGCAGAGGAACCAGAGACCAAAUUGCUGCCAGCCACUGGAUCAUAGAAAAAGCAAGGGAAUUCCAGAAAAAUAUCUACUUCUGUUUCAUUGACUAAGCUAAAGCCUUUGACUAUUUGGAUCACAACAAACUGUGGAAAAUUCUUAAGGAGAUGGGAAUCUACCAGACCUCCUUACCUGUAUCCUGAGAAACCCGUAUACAAGUCAAGAAGCAAUAGUUAGAACCAGACAUGGAAAAUGGACUAGUUCAAAAUUGGGAAAGGAGUACAUCAAGGCUGUAUAUUGUAUAUAGGCAGUGUUUUCGUCUUAAACAUAUUGCCUUCCAAUCCCUGAAUGUGGAUGUUUUUAUAUUUAUGUCCAUAUUUUUCAUUUCUUUCAAUGACAAUUUAUAGUUUUAAGUGUAUGUCUGUGUUUCCUUGGUC